GGCCAGACUCCUACGGGAGGCAGCAGUGGGGAAUAUUGCACAAUGGGCGAAAGCCUGAUGCAGCGACGCCGCGUGAGUGAAGAAGUAUUUCGGUAUGUAAAGCUCUAUCAGCAGGGAAGAAAAUGACGGUACCUGACUAAGAAGCCCCGGCUAACUACGUGCCAGCAGCCGCGGUAAUACGUAGGGGGCAAGCGUUAUCCGGAUUUACUGGGUGUAAAGGGAGUGUAGGUGGCAUAACAAGUCAGAAGUGAAAGCCCGGGGCUCAACCGCGGGACUGCUUUUGAAACUGUUAAGCUUGAGUGCAGGAGAGGUAAGCGGAAUUCCUAGUGUAGCGGUGAAAUGCAUAGAUAUCACGCAGAACUCCGAUUGCGAAGGCAGCGCACCGGCGCCCUACUGACGCUCAGGCACGAAAGCGUGGGUAUCGAACAGGAUUAGAUACCCGAGUA
rnacentral:rRNA from 1 species